CCUAUCCUUUUCCUCUUGCAACUGAACACUCUCAUUGAUUUUACUUCUUAGCUGCUCUUCCAGUUCUCUUUUCUGUGUGCGCAAGGAGCCCACCUCUAGCUCCAUAUCCUUGAGCUGUGCCGUUAAACUUUCUUUCUCUUCUAGCAUUCUCUGCUCAUCCACACUUUUGCUUGCUAAAUCUUCUUUCAGAUUUUCUAUCACAAUAAGGUGUUCUGAAAUUUCUCCAGCCUUCCUCACAAGCUGGAAUUCUAAUUCAGUUUUUUGAGCACUCAAAGAAUUUAUCUUCUCCUGCAGGUUGCCAACCUGCAAUGUCACUGCCAAAAUUUGAGAGGAUGCUUCUUUCUCUCCAGCUUCAGAUUUCAUUGAUACAGAAGAGAGUUCAUUCUCCUUUUCAAUUAAUGACUGUUCUAAUUCAAAAUUUCUAUUUUGCAGCCUAUCCUUUUCCUCUUGCAACUGAACACUCUCAUUGAUUUUACUUCUUAGCUGCUCUUCCAGUUCUCUUUUCUGUGUGCGCAAGGAGCCCACCUCUAGCUCCAUAUCCUUGAGCUGUGCCGUUAAACUUUCUUUCUCUUCUAGCAUUCUCUGCUCAUCCACACUUUUGCUUGCUAAAUCUUCUUUCAGAUUUUCUAUCACAAUAAGGUGUUCUGAAAUUUCUCCAGCCUUCCUCACAAGCUGGAAUUCUAAUUCAGUUUUUUGAGCACUCAAAGAAUUUAUCUUCUCCUGCAGGUUGCCAACCUGCAAUGUCACUGCCAAAAUUUGAGAGGAUGCUUCUUUCUCUCCAGCUUCAGAUUUCAUUGAUACAGAAGAGAGUUCAUUCUCCUUUUCAAUUAAUGACUGUUCCAAUUCAAAGAUUCUAUUUUGCAG
rnacentral:lncRNA from 1 species